rnacentral:rRNA from 1 species
AGUGAACGCUGGCGGUAGGCCUAACACAUGCAAGCCGAACGGCAGCACAGUAAGAGCUUGCUCUUACGGGUGGCGAGUGGCGGACGGGUGAGGAAUACAUCGGAAUCUACUUUUUCGUGGGGGAUAACGUAGGGAAACUUACGCUAAUACCGCAUACGACCUACGGGUGAAAGCAGGGGUUCUUCGGACCUUGCGCGAUUGAAUUAGCCGAUGUCGGAUUAGCUAGUUGGCGGGGUAAAGGCCCACCAAGGCGACGAUCCGUAGCUGGUCUGAGAGGAUGAUCAGCCACACUGGAACCGAGACACGGUCCAGACUCCUACGGGAGGCAGCAGUGGGGAAUAUUGGACAAUGGGCGCAAGCCUGAUCCAGCCGUACCGCGUGGGUGAAGAAGGCCUUCGGGUUGUAAAGCCCUUUUGUUGGGAAAGAAAAGCAGCAGGUUAAUACCCCGCUGUUCUGACGGUACCCAAAGAAUAAGCACCGGCUAACUUCGUG